UCUUUGGAGAGUUUGAUCCUGGCUCAGGACGAACGCUGGCGGCGUGCCUAAUACAUGCAAGUCGAGCGGACCGAACGAGAGCUUGCUCUUGUUUGGUCAGCGGCGGACGGGUGAGUAACACGUGGGCAACCUGCCCGCAAGACCGGGAUAACUCCGGGAAACCGGAGCUAAUAGCGGAUAACACCGAAGACCGCAUGGUCUUCGGUUGAAAGGCGGCCUUUGGGCUGUCACUUGCGGAUGGGCCCGCGGCGCAUUAGCUAGUUGGUGAGGUAACGGCUCACCAAGGCGACGAUGCGUAGCC
rnacentral:rRNA from 1 species